AGUUACUCCUGCUAAUGUGUUCCUAUACGAAUACUAACACUUAUAUACCUCACAGGGCAGAAAAAGAUAAGAUGGGAAAAAAUAUAAAGCUACCCCAAAAGAAAAUAAGACUCUGCUGUUCUAACAACCUUCUUUCCUAGAACUACUAGCUGUUCUGAAGUUAAGGACUUACUGGGAGUGCUUUUCUUCAGUACAGAGAUCAAAUUAGACAGGAGUCCAACCUAGCUAUUUUGGGUCAAGCAGCAAUUAUUCUUGUAUUUUAAUUUACACUCAUCAUCAACGUAUAUAUCUAAAAUGUCCCAACCAGGACCUACAUGUUCUUAACACAGAAGACAUUUCUUACUAGCUAAAGAGGUGGGUUUAAGCUGGUUUGUAUCCUAUCCUUGGAAGACUAGCAAUGUAAUUUCAGAGUGGAAGCAAAUCCAUGGCUUUUCCAGACAUCUUACUGUUUUGCUAAGAGUUUAUACAGUAAUUAUAUAAUAGAAAAAGCCUGGACUAUCCACAGCCACAAAAAUGAUGAUUCUGAAGAGCUGAACCAGAUAUUAAACUUGGCUUUCCUUUUUUUUUUUUUUUUUUAGAAUUCCAGUCUUCCCUCAGAGCACAUCCUCUCACAAGCUGAUAAGCUCCUUCCAGUUUCUCAUCCUACAGGUUAUAGAGACUUGUAUGUUCACGAAGCCUGAACUUCCAAGUUCACAUCAUGGCAAGACUUCAAAGGCAACACUUUCAGAAAGGCUUUGAAGCCCUGCCUCACAAAAUCUCACUCAUUCAACAAUCGGUGAGCAUCCAAUUGUGAUGAGCCAGGCCUGGGACUGGACUCUGGAUUCUGACAAUAACACUUCCUGUCACUUGGCACCAUACUUAGCUCCGCACUGUCUCACCUUGAAAGAGGAAUACUCAUCGCUACUUCCAAGGGAUACAGUUAAAGGUAGCUACUCUCUUCUGGUGUACCUAGCAACUGUAAACUCUCAACUAAGGGCAUGACCCUUCCUCCAGAGGUUCUAAGCUUGCUUUUUUUUGGUAGAAUGCAUUUAAUGCUGGUUGGCUUUGCCCUCUUUGUAAGUGUUAAAAUAAAACCUGACCCCUUGUAGUUUCUAUCUCCCCUACGGGGAUCCAUCUCUAGGCCACUAUUUUCUGGAAACUUCAGGAUUCAGGUUCAACCCUAACGGCUUGGAAUGAGUAAUGAUCAACCAAACUAAGUGCUUAGUUUUUUUAAAAAAUAAAGGCCAAAGGAAUUUUA